AUUGAACGCUGGCGGCAGGCCUAACACAUGCAAGUCGAACGGUAACAGGAAGCAGCUUGCUGCUUCGCUGACGAGUGGCGGACGGGUGAGAAAUGUCUGGGAAGCUGCCUGAUGGAGGGGGAUAACUACUGGAAACGGUAGCUAAUACCGCAUAAUGUCGCAAGACCAAAGAGGGGGACCUUCGGGCCUCUUGCCAUCGGAUUUGCCCAGAUGGGAUUAGCUUGUUGGUGGGGUAACGGCUCACCAAGGCGACGAUCCGUAGCUGGUCUGAGAGGAUGACCAGCCACACUGGAACUGAGACACGGUCCAGACUCCUACGGGAGGCAGCAGUGGGGAAUAUUGCACAAUGGGCGCAAGCCUGAUGCAGCCAUGGCGCGUGUAUGAAGAAGGCCUUCGGGUUGUAAAGUACUUUCAGCGGGGAGGAAGGGAGUAAAGUUAAUACCUUCGCUCAUUGACGUUACCUGCAGAAGAAGCACCGGCUAACUCCGUG
rnacentral:rRNA from 1 species